AGUGAACGCUGGCGGUAGGCCUAACACAUGCAAGUCGAACGGCAGCACAGUAAGAGCUUGCUCUUACGGGUGGCGAGUGGCGGACGGGUGAGGAAUACAUCGGAAUCUACUUUUUCGUGGGGGAUAACGUAGGGAAACUUACGCUAAUACCGCAUACGACCUACGGGUGAAAGCAGGGGAUCUUCGGACCUUGCGCGAUUGAAUGAGCCGAUGUCGGAUUAGCUAGUUGGCGGGGUAAAGGCCCAACAAGGCGACGAUCCGUAGCUGGUCUGAGAGGAUGAUCAGCCACACUGGAACUGAGACACGGUCCAGACUCCUACGGGAGGAAGCAGUGGGGAAUAUUGGGCAAUGGGCGAAAGCCUGAUCCAGCAAUACCGCGUGAGUGAAGAAGGCCUUCGGGUUGUAAAGCCCUGUUGUUGGGAAAGAAAAGCAGCAGGUUAAUACGCGGCUGUUCUGACGGUACCCAAAGAAUAAGCACCGGCUAACUUCGUG
rnacentral:rRNA from 1 species